AUUGAACGCUGGCGGCAGGCCUAACACAUGCAAGUCGAGCGGAUGAAGGGAGCUUGCUCCUGGAUUCAGCGGCGGACGGGUGAGUAAUGCCUAGGAAUCUGCCUGGUAGUGGGGGAUAACGUCCGGAAACGGGCGCUAAUACCGCAUACGUCCUGAGGGAGAAAGUGGGGGAUCUUCGGACCUCACGCUAUCAGAUGAGCCUAGGUCGGAUUAGCUAGUUGGUGGGGUAAAGGCCUACCAAGGCGACGAUCCGUAACUGGUCUGAGAGGAUGAUCAGUCACACUGGAACUGAGACACGGUCCAGACUCCUACGGGAGGCAGCAGUGGGGAAUAUUGGACAAUGGGCGAAAGCCUGAUCCAGACAUGCCGCGUGUGUGAAGAAGGUCUUCGGAUUGUAAAGCACUUUAAGUUGGGGGGAAGGGCAGUAAGUUAAUACCUUGCUGUUUUGACGUUACCAACAGAAUAAGCACCGGCUAACUUCGUG
rnacentral:rRNA from 1 species